rnacentral:rRNA from 1 species
UGGGGAAUAUUGCACAAUGGAGGGAACUCUGAUCCACCGACGCCGCGUGAGUGAGGAAGGACUUCGUUUCGUAAAACUCUUUUCUAUGGGAGAAAAAGGACUGUACCAUAGGAGAAAGCUCCGGCUAAAUCCGUGCCAGCAGCCGCGGUAAUACGUAUGGAGCGAGCGUUGUCCGGAAUUAUUGGGCGUAAAGGGUGCGCAGGCGGCUUUACAAGUUGGAUGUGAAAUAUUGUGGCUCAACCACAAACGUGCAUCCAAAACUGCAAAGCUUGAGUUAAGGAGAGGUAAGUGGAAUUCCUGGUGUAGCGGUGGAAUGCGUAGAUAUCAGGAGGAAUACCGGUGGCGAAGGCGACUUACUGGACUUAAACUGACGCUCAGGCACGAAAGCGUGGGGAGCAAACAGG